rnacentral:rRNA from 1 species
GAUGAACGCUGGCGGCGUGCCUAAUACAUGCAAGUCGAGCGAACAGACGAGGAGCUUGCUCCUUCGACGUUAGCGGCGGACGGGUGAGUAACACGUAGGUAACCUACCUAUAAGACUGGGAUAACUUCGGGAAACCGGAGCUAAUACCGGAUAAUAUUUCGAACCGCAUGGUUCGAUAGUUAAAGAUGGCUUUGCUAUCACUUAUAGAUGGACCUGCGCGGUAUUAGAUAGUUGGUAAGGUAACGGCUUACCAAGGCAACGAUACGUAGCCGACCUGAGAGGGGGAGAGGCAAAAGGGGAAGGGGAACAGGGACAAGAGGACGAAGGGAGGAAGAAGAAGGGAAGAUGAGGAAAGGGGCGAAAGCGGGAGGGAGAAAGGGGGGGGGAGAGAAAAGGGAGUAGGGAGGGAAAAACUUUUUAAGAGGGAAAAAAAAAAAGGGAAAGAAAAAGGGCAGGUAAGGAGGGUAACAAAAAAAAAAGCAAGGGAUAACUAGGUG